rnacentral:rRNA from 1 species
UACGGAGGGUGCAAGCGUUAUCCGGAAUUACUGGGUUUAAAGGGUGCGUAGGCGGUUGUAUAAGUCAGCAAGUGAAAUUCCACAGCUUAACUGUAGGAACUGCUUUUGAUACUGUACGACUUGAACCAAGAUGAGGUAGGCGGAAUGUGGCAUGUAGCGGUGAAAUGCAUAGAUAUGCCAUAGAACACCGAUUGCGAAGGCAGCUUACUAGACUUGUGUUGACGCUGAGGCACGAAAGCGUGGGGAGCGAACAGG